rnacentral:rRNA from 1 species
UACGGAGGGUGCGAGCGUUGUUCGGAUUUACUGGGCGUAAAGGGCGCGUAGGCGGCCUUGUCAGUCAGGCGUGAAAGCCCCGGGCUCAACCUGGGAACGGCGCUUGGGACGGCGAGGCUGGAGUUCGGGAGAGGAGAGUGGAAUUCCCAGUGUAGAGGUGAAAUUCGUAGAUAUUGGGAAGAACACCGGUGGCGAAGGCGGCUCUCUGGACCGACACUGACGCUGAGGCGCGAAAGCGUGGGGAGCAAACAGG